AUUGAACGCUGGCGGCAGGCCUAACACAUGCAAGUCGAGCGGAUGAAGGGAGCUUGCUCCUGGAUUCAGCGGCGGACGGGUGAGUAAUGCCUAGGAAUCUGCCUGGUAGUGGGGGAUAACGUCCGGAAACGGGCGCUAAUACCGCAUACGUCCUGAGGGAGAAAGUGGGGGAUCUUCGGACCUCACGCUAUCAGAUGAGCCUAGGUCGGAUUAGCUAGUUGGUGGGGUAAAGGCCUACCAAGGCGACGAUCCGUAACUGGUCUGAGAGGAUGAUCAGUCACACUGGAACGGAGACACGGUCCCGACUCCUACGGGAGGCAGCAGUGGGGAAUAUUGGACAAUGGGCGGAAGCCUGAUCCAGCCAUGCCGCGUGUGUGAAGAAGGUCUUCGGAUUGUAAAGCACUUUAAGUUGGGAGGAAGGGCAGUAAGUUAAUACCUUGCUGUUUUGACGUUACCAACAGAAUAAGCACCGGCUAACUUCGUG
rnacentral:rRNA from 1 species